UUUUUGUUUUAUUAGGUGCACCUCCCUCCGAAACAUAAGGGACAAUGAAGAAAAAGAUUCAGCAUUCCGUGGAAUUUGUACCAUGAUUACUGUCAAUCCUAGUGGAGUAGUCCAAGACUUUAUAUUUUUUUGUGAUGCUGUUGCAUCAUGGAUUAGCCCAAAAGAUGACCUCCGGGACAUGUUCUGUAAGAUCCUUCAUGGAUUUAAAAAUCAAGUUGGAGAUGAAAAUUGGAGGCGUUUCUCUGACCAAUUUCCUGUUCCCUUAAAAGAGCGACUUGCAGCUUACUAUGGAGUUUAACAUCAUGUAUUCAAGCUGCAGUACCAUAAUUAGAGGUCCUUCAGUCUGGAAGACUGGGAGGGAGCCUCUGCACCCAGGGAAAAAAAAUGUUACCCUUUACUGGGGGGAAGGGUAAACCAGUAGGGAAUACAGUACAAUCCCAAGCCUACUGGGAGGGGCGGGAGGGAGGUGUUGCCGUCACUGUAUUAAGCCGAUGUUGGGAAAUGUUUUACCAUCUGGAGCUUUUGUGGGUGGAAAUCUGUCUCCUGUUACAACUCUGCACUGGAUGUGAAGAAGCGCAAAAAAAAAAAAAUAUUCACAACAGCACAUUCUGCAAUAUUAUGGAAAACUGUACCAAAAUGAAAAGUAUAAAAUUGAACCAUAGGGGAUAUGUAAGCAAGGAAAUAUAUUGUGUUCAUGUGAUAAAGGAAACAGAAGAAUGGGUAUUAUAGGCAUUAAAAGGUGGCAUAACAAGGGGUUUCUGCAUUGUUUCAUCUUGAUGGGAAUCCUAGGAAUUGCAUGUUAAUGAAGAACUAAACAAAUGAAGAUAGUACUGUUGAAAUGAAGCUUGCUACCUGUACUAGGAGCAAGCAUUUGCAGUGUACACAUUUAAAUAACCCCAUAAUAAAGUAAUAAAGGUAAAUGUGAACAAAAUGAAGCAACCUGCAGGAUGCCAAAUGAGUCACUCCUUUUCAUUUUUUUGGGUGGGGGGAGGGGCAUUUCAGAAGAAAGGUGAAUCUUUUUAGUUUUACAUUGACGCUUAAGAGGUAGUGAAUAUGAUUUGAUGGAUGUACUUCAUUAGAUUUAAUUUCUAGAGUAAGGCAUAAUUCUUAACGUGCAGUUUAAGGUUCAGGCAUGCAUUUUGGAUCAUAGUGAUCGAGCGUAUUUUUAGUGGGAAGGUAGCAUGCUUGCAUCAGAGUGAGAGUGGUAUACACUUAUGUUGCGCCAGUUUUGUGUUGCAGUUUACCAAUUCAGUAUAGCCCUGCAUUAAAAUUCCUUUAAGAUUCUGUGGAUUUUAUUUUUUAUUAAGAAUGUAAGUAUAAAAUACUGUAGUUAAAAUUAGGCCUUGAAAUAUCUUUUUAGGAACUCUUAGGAAUAAGAUUGAUAUUGUAUUGUGUAACCUGCACAAUGUGGAAAGCUGAUAUAGCUGUGCAAAGUAUUGCCUCUGUGCUGUCAGUGUGAUGUGCUUUCUGCAUGGUUAUACUACUAGUGAUUUUUAUCAAACCUAAAAAUGAGUACAUGGUAAGACCUGUUAAAGGCUACAUAAAUGUUAGUUGGCGCGUAAAGACAAUUGUAGAAAAUUGAUGACAUAAUUGCUACAUUUCAGUGUUUAUUCCCACCCAACUUAUUCUUUUAUUAUCUCCCCCCCACAACCACAAAGCAUGAUCUUAAGAGAUGCAUAAGUUAGUAGAUGUAAAGCAGGGUAUUUACACUGUAUCGGCGCAUGUUGGUGGCCCUUUGUGUCCGAGUGAAAGCACACAAGGGUGCAAGUUAAAAGCUACAGAGUGAACGUUGGUUUGAAUCCUCUUCAUUUCAUUUGUUUAGCUUUUCUGUUUUUCCCCUCUACUCACUUGUAUUCCUGUGAAUAAAUCCUUGUUAAGUUAACCCUUUACUUUUCUUUUCAUGUGUAUUUUCUUAUGUACUGUGAAUGUGAAAACUUAACUGGUACACUUGAUCUUGUGUUACUAUAAAAGUGGAAGUUGUGAUUAAUUUAGACUGCAUUAAAGAGUAUCCCAUGAUGAUAAAGGAAAAUGGAGAGAAAAUAACUCUGCUGGUCAGAGAAGAAGCCACACUUUUCCAUUUUCCCUUAAGUGCUGCAAAAUUAAAUCUGUGCAAAAAAAAAAAGAGAAAAAGAAAAAAAAAGAGAAAAAGCCAUAACAGCCGCCUUACAUUUUAGCUUCUCACCUUUGCAUUGCAAAAAUAAAUGAAAUGAAAUGAAAUGAAAAACAAUACUGGAUAACCAUUUUUGUAGGGACUGACUUAGCAUGAUUUGGUUCUUUUAAGGUUGUAUGAUUUAGCCAUUGCACUAAAGUUCAAUCUUGUAUGAGUUUAUGAAAUUUGACUUCAUUUUUUUGUUCACUGCAUGGAAGCAUGCAGAAGUUUUAUACAUUCCGUUUUUCAUUUUGCAAAUUUGAGUGGGUUAAACAUGCCUGAAAUGACCUUUUUAGUACAUGUCCUAUACAAAAGCCUAUAAUGAAUAAAGAUAAUUACACCAUGCAAUUCACUGGAAAAAAACGGAUGUGGUGAUCUACUUUCAGAUUUAGUUGAGUCAGAAGCCACAACUUCUCUUUCAGCUGAAAACAUAAAGUUACAGCUUUUCCAAAGUAGAUACUAAUUCUCCAGAAAGUAAACCUUAAAAUUUAGUGAGGGUGGACUUGCCUUAGACAAGGGUUUACAUUUGAUUUUUUUCUGUGAAUAGUACAUCAGUCUAAGAUUUCUACAUGGAAUUCUUUAAAACAAAUGUUGUUUUGGCCCUUGUGAACUUGGAAUUGUUAAGUUGCAGAUAACAUUGAAGAUUAGCACAACAUAGCUACUUGCAUAAAAUAUAUAUAAUUUUAUUACAUGGGUUAAUAUAGAGGGAUGUGACUGUUUUACUGUGACUAAGCUGAUCACACAGAAAAGUAACAAAGAAAGCAAUAUUGCAGUUAAAAUGAAAAUUUUGUUAAUUCAUAAAGUAUAAUAUACUUAAACCACUUGGAUUAGAAUUUGAGGUUAGGAGAGCUCUGAUACAACACUAACAGUUGUAAAUCAACUAUAUUGCAUCAUGGGAUAUAUAAAGCAUCUUAAUUCUACGUGUAGUCUUGACAAUUUUUGAAUGUUGACUGAAUGUUGAUACUGGUAGAAUUGUGAGUUUGUCUUUGUUACAUUCCAGUGUUCUCUGCCUCUUGGCAUGCUACAAGCACGGCUUACUAAAUCUGCUCCUUACACAGUGAAUAAAGUGCUUAGUGUGCUAAACUACAGAAAUAGCCGCUGCUAAGUGAUGUAGAUUUUCUACUUGAAUAUUUUUUGUUGUAGGAACCUCAGGAGGUCAGUGUUUACUGUUUUUAUAUAUGCCUUUGUUUUCAUGUCUAAGGCCCCCUGCUUUUGAAGGAUUCUAACAGUGAACAAAGCUGCUGAUCAACCUAAGUUGGUAACAGAAAGUGUAUUUUAAAACAUUUUAAAUGCAUCUCUUUUGCAGUUAAACUUGUCUUAAUACAAAAGGAGUUUUAGUACAGUUGUGACUAUUAAGAAAAAAAAUCCUUUAACCUUUUCUUCAUUCCUUUCAUUCUGAGGGGAAUAGAUAAAUUUUGUAAGUUUUUUAAUAUGAUUUAUUUUCUAAAUUGGUGCAUAUAAGAUAGAUUUUCAUGCUUUUCACCCUGAUGCUUGAACAUACUCACUUUGAAGUAAGUUCUAUUAAUUUCAGUGGGACUCACUUCUAAGUAUGUUAAGGACUGCGGUCUCAAUUAUUGCAGUCAUGGCAACAUAUAGAAAAUAAUGUGUUUUAAAAUACAUAGCCAAUAGGAUUUUUUUAAACCAUAAAGUAAUUUUAGUUUUGUAAUAAACACUAUUGAUCCACACUGUGAUAAUUCUGAUUUUUUCUUUAGCAUUGGUAUGAAUUGCUUAAGCUACAUAAGUACUGUGUAAUUUAGAUUUAUGCUACUUGUAACAAGAUUUCCAAAGUUGAAACUUCUGUUGCUAUUUGGAUAAGAAAUAUUCAUACUAGUUUUAUCUCAGGUAAAUACUCUUGUACCCAUUUUUGUUAGAUAUAGGCUUCUAGUAUGUCUUAAGUGUACCAGUUUGUCUUUCAUAUAGGAACUGCCUAAUGUCUUAACUCUCAUAUCUAAAUUAACUUACUGUGGGACACCAAUGACUUUGCUUCAAUAUAAGUCUCCUAUUUUAUUCAUAUUGAAUGUAUUUAACAAAGAUGUGUAACAUUCUUCUUAAGAAGAAUGCAUCUGUGCAGAAUAGCACCUACAAAUCACCAUAAAGAGUGCUUUAUAUUGUGCAGUACUAAGUUUAUGUUCCUGAUUUAAAAAAAAUCGAUUUAUGACUUGGCGUAAAUACUUCUGAUAUAUUUUCUGUAUAGAGACCUAAACUUUUUUAGAGUAGUAUAUGGAAUCUAGAGAAUAACUCUUCUUAAUGCGAUCCUAGGCAGUUAACUUAAGAUCAGACUCUUUGCUACUGUAAGCUACUGAAUGCCAAGCAGUAAUCUUUUAAGAUAAUGUUGCUGUUUGUGUAUGAAUAUAAUUAUUAUGUACUGUGUAAGCAUUGGGCUGUCUGGAAUACUUUAAACUUAAAAUGGAAUGAAAAAAACUUUACAUUUUAAUGCAGUUGUACUCAGCACUGCACUCAGAUUUCAGAUACUAUUUCGUUGAAAAUGUUGUCCAUAACUCAAUUGUGCUCUUUGUGCUAUUUGUCAGAGCAAAUCAGUGUUAGGCUGUCCUGAAUGAAACUUUAAUAAGGGUUGUGGCUUUUUGUCACUAAGAGACUGAACUAAAACAAUGCAAGAUUCUUAGAUUUGUUUGUGCAUGACAGGAAAACUGUGAAUGGUUAUACUGAAGUAAACCUUCACUCUUGUUUUGCAGAACAAAUGCACUUUUUAAAUAAGACAGUUAUAUUGCAAAUCAGUUUUGGUACUGAUGAUACGGUAUUUUUCUUCUCCUCUGUCAGUUCAUUUAACAAUGGUCUCUUGGGUGUGCAGCAAACUAGAUCCUUAGGAAAAUUUUGAGGACCCUCUAUUCAAUUUUUUUCUGUGUUCUCCCUGCCCCUGAAGGGUUUCUUCUCCCAAUUGAUUCUUUGUCCUAAAAUGUUACAGGUGGAUGUACUAGUUAAAAUUUAAAAGUAGCAAAAUUGAUAGCUCUUUCUGCUGACAACUUAGGUUGUAUGAGUUUUGCUUGAAAGCUUUAAAUUGGGUGUGUGUUCUCUGUAUGUUAGAAUAUUCCCUUCAAACAUAUCCUUCAGCAAACUCUCGAGAUGUAUUAAGUUGAUUUUUCUUGUAUGCCUCUGCUAACACAACUUCAUUUGAAAUAGAAUAUGGUUUUGAUUUUUGAUAAGCUGCUGAAUUCUAAAGAGUUUUUUGGGGCCACCAAAUAUUUUGGAUCAUGCAGAGAAUAUAUAUUGUAAUGUAGUAAUUUUGUAUUUACAUUUGUAUGAUGUGACAAUAGACGUGAAUGUUAAUCACUGCUUGACUAUGUUAAUAAAAUUUGUUUAAAUAUA